CUGGGAAGGCUGCAGGAUCUGUGUGUGAGAGACACGCUUUCUGAUGCAAGCGUCACUUAGCUACGGAGGUAGCGCUUCCUGAUUGGCUUCCCCUGUCCGGCGCUGUCUGCUGACGUAUGCCUCCAGAGACCUGUACUCAGUGCGGCAGGACGCAGCGGGAACAGUGGCGCUGGACAGGUGAGUACAAUCUCAGCAAUGAACACUUGUUUAAGUGGGAAUAAGUGCUCAGUGUGUGUAUUACCUGUAUGUGUAUCGCUUGUCCCUGACGACGGGGGUAGUCCCCGAAACGGUGUAGGACCAUAAUAAAGACAUUUUAACUUA